rnacentral:sRNA from 1 species
AUUCUGCCCAAGCGGGGAAGGAUGAGAAGCUUCGACYAAGGUUCGACUCGAGCGCCAGCGAGAGAGCGUUGCCGCAGGCAACGACCCGAAGGGCGAAGCGCGCAGCGCUGAGUAAUCCUUCCCCCACCACCA